GACGAACGCUGGCGGCGUGCCUAAUACAUGCAAGUAGGACGCAGUUGCGAACGGGUGAGUAACGCGUAGGUCACUGCCUAUUAGCUGGGGAUAACUAUUGGAAACGCUAGCUAAUACCGCAUACUAGUAGAUGGACCUUCGUUGUAUUAGCUAGUAGGUAGGGUAAUGGCCUACCUAGGCGACGAUAAAUAGCCGACCUGGGAGGGUGAUCGGCCACACGGGGACGGAGACACGGCCCAGACUCCUACGGGAGGCAGCAGUAGGGAAUCUUCGGCAAUUGGGGGAACCCUGACCGAGCAAGGCCGCGUGAGGGAAGAAGGUUUUCGGAUCGUAAAGCUCUGUUGUUAAGGAAGGGGUACGGAAACAGAAAGGGACGGCUAACUACGUGCCAGCAGCCGCGGUAAUA
rnacentral:rRNA from 1 species